rnacentral:rRNA from 1 species
UGCGUAGGCGGAUUGAUAAGUCAGUGGUGAAAACCUACAGCUUAACUGUAGAACUGCCAUUGAUACUGUUAGUCUUGAGUACGGCCAAGGUAGGCGGAAUGUGUAAUGUAGCGGUGAAAUGCUUAGAUAUUACACAGAACACCGAUUGCGAAGGCAGCUUACUGGACCAUUACUGACGCUGAGGCACGAAAGCGUGGGGAGCGAACAGGAUUAGAUACCCUGGUAGUCC